rnacentral:rRNA from 1 species
UAGGGAAUCUUCGGCAAUGGACGAAAGUCUGACCGAGCAACGCCGCGUGAGUGAAGAAGGUUUUCGGAUCGUAAAACUCUGUUGUUAGAGAAGAACAAGGACGUUAGUAACUGAACGUCCCCUGACGGUAUCUAACCAGAAAGCCACGGCUAACUACGUGCCAGCAGCCGCGGUAAUACGUAGGUGGCAAGCGUUGUCCGGAUUUAUUGGGCGUAAAGCGAGCGCAGGCGGUUUCUUAAGUCUGAUGUGAAAGCCCCCGGCUCAACCGGGGAGGGUCAUUGGAAACUGGGAGACUGGAGUGCAGAAGAGGAGAGUGGAAUUCCAGGUGUGGCGGUGAAAUGCGUAGAUAUAUGGAGGAACACCAGUGGCGAAGGCGGCUCUCUGGUCUGUAACUGACGCUGAGGCUCGAAAGCGUGGGGAGCAAACAGG